CCUACGGGCGGCAGCAGUGAGGAAUAUUGGUCAAUGGCCGAGAGGCUGAACCAGCCAAGUCGCGUGAGGGAAGACGGCCCUACGGGUUGUAAACCUCUUUUGUCGGGGAGCAAAGCGAGUCACGUGUGACUCAUUGAGAGUACACGAAGAAAAAGCAUCGGCUAACUCCGUGCCAGCAGCCGCGGUAAUACGGAGGAUGCGAGCGUUAUCCGGAUUUAUUGGGUUUAAAGGGUGCGCAGGCGGAGGUGCAAGUCAGCGGUAAAAUUGCGGGGCUCAACACCGUACUGCCGUUGAAACUGCAUCCCUUGAGUGCGCGAGAAGUAUGCGGAAGGCGUGGUGUAGCGGUGAAAUGCAUAGAGAUCACGCAGAACGCCGAUUGCGAAGGCAGCAUACCGGCGCGCAACUGACGCUCAUGCGCGAAAGCGUGGGUAUCGAACAGGAUUAGAUACCCGGGUAGUC
rnacentral:rRNA from 1 species